GAGUUUGAUCGUGGCUCAGAUUGAACGCUGGCGGCAUGCCUUACACAUGCAAGUCGAACGGUAACAGGUCUUCGGACGCUGACGAGUGGCGAACGGGUGAGUAAUACAUCGGAACGUGCCCAGUCGUGGGGGAUAACUACUCGAAAGAGUAGCUAAUACCGCAUACGAUCUGAGGAUGAAAGCGGGGGACCUUCGGGCCUCGCGCGAUUGGAGCGGCCGAUGGCAGAUUAGGUAGCUGGUGGGAUAAAAGCUUACCAAGCCGACGAUCUGUAGCUGGUCUGAGAGGACGACCAGCCACACUGGGACUGAGACACGGCCCAGACUCCUACGGGAGGCAGCAGUGGGGAAUUUUGGACAAUGGGCGAAAGCCUGAUCCAGCAAUGCCGCGUGCAGGAUGAAGGCCUUCGGUUGUAACUGCUUUGUUACGGAACGAAAAGACUUCUCUAACUACGAGAGGCCACUGACGGUACCGUAAGAAUAAG
rnacentral:rRNA from 1 species